UACAGAGGGGGCAAGCGUUGUUCGGAAUUACUGGGCGUAAAGGGCGCGUAGGCGGCCUUCUAAGUCGAACGUGAAAUCCCCGGGCUCAACCCGGGAACUGCGUCCGAUACUGGAAGGCUUGAAUCCGGGAGAGGGAUGCGGAAUUCCAAGUGUAGCGGUGAAAUGCGUAGAUAUCUGGAGGAACACCGGUGGCGAAGGCGGCAUCCUGGACCGGCAUUGACGCUGAGGCGCGAAAGCCAGGGGAGCAAACGGG
rnacentral:rRNA from 1 species